AAAUUGAAGAGUUUGAUCAUGGCUCAGAUUGAACGCUGGCGGCAGGCCUAACACAUGCAAGUCGAACGGUAACAGGAAGCAGCUUGCUGCUUUGCUGACGAGUGGCGGACAGGUGAGGAAUGUCUGGGAAACUGUCCGAUGGAGGGGGAUAACUACUGGAAACGGUAAAUAAUACCGCAAAACGUCGCAAGAACAAAGAGGGGGACCUUUAGGGCUCUUGCCAUCGAAAGUGCCCACAUGGGAAUAGACAAUAGGUGGGGUAAUAGCUCACCUAAGCUACGAGUACUAGCCUGUUUGAGAGGAUCACCAGCCACACUGG
rnacentral:rRNA from 1 species